UUGAACGCUGGCGGCAUGCCUUACACAUGCAAGUCGAACGGCAGCAUAGGAGCUUGCUCCUGAUGGCGAGUGGCGAACGGGUGAGUAAUAUAUCGGAACGUGCCCUAGAGUGGGGGAUAACUAGUCGAAAGACUAGCUAAUACCGCAUACGAUCUACGGAUGAAAGUGGGGGAUCGCAAGACCUCAUGCUCCUGGAGCGGCCGAUAUCUGAUUAGCUAGUUGGUGGGGUAAAAGCCUACCAAGGCAACGAUCAGUAGCUGGUCUGAGAGGACGACCAGCCCACUGGGACUGAGACACGGCCCAGACUCCUACGGGAGGCAGCAGUGGGGAAUUUUGGACAAUGGGGGCAACCCUGAUCCAGCAAUGCCGCGUGAGUGAAGAAGGCCUUCGGGUUGUAAAGCUCUUUUGUCAGGGAAGAAACGGUAGUAGCGAAUAACUAUUACUAAUGACGGUACCUGAAGAAUAAGCACCGGCUAACUACGUGCCAGCAGCCGCGGUAAUACGUAGGGUGCAAGCGUUAAUCGGAAUUACUGGGCAAAGCGUGCGCAGGCGGUUGUGUAAGUCAGAUGUGAAAUCCCCGGGCUCAACCUGGGAAUUGC
rnacentral:rRNA from 1 species